rnacentral:rRNA from 2 species
GGUAACCUGCCCAGAAGCGGGGGACAACAUUUGGAAACAGAUGCUAAUACCGCAUAACAACGUUGUUCGCAUGAACAACGCUUAAAAGAUGGCUUCUCGCUAUCACUUCUGGAUGGACCUGCGGUGCAUUAGCUUGUUGGUGGGGUAAUGGCCUACCAAGGCGAUGAUGCAUAGCCGAGUUGAGAGACUGAUCGGCCACAAUGGGACUGAGACACGGCCCAUACUCCUACGGGAGGCAGCAGUAGGGAAUCUUCCACAAUGGGCGCAAGCCUGAUGGAGCAACACCGCGUGAGUGAAGAAGGGUUUCGGCUCGUAAAGCUCUGUUGUUAAAGAAGAACACGUAUGAGAGUAACUGUUCAUACGUUGACGGUAUUUAACCAGAAAGUCACGGCUAACUACGUGCCAGCAGCCGCGGUAAUACGUAGGUGGCAAGCGUUAUCCGGAUUUAUUGGGCGUAAAGAGAGUGCAGGCGGUUUUCUAAGUCUGAUGUGAAAGCCUUCGGCUUAACCGGAGAAGUGCAUCGGAAACUGGAUAACUUGAGUGCAGAAGAGGGUAGUGGAACUCCAUGUGUAGCGGUGGAAUGCGUAGAUAUAUGGAAGAACACCAGUGGCGAAGGCGGCUACCUGGUCUGCAACUGACGCUGAGACUCGAAAGCAUGGGUAGCGAACAGGAUUAGAUACCCUGGUAGUCCAUGCCGUAAACGAUGAGUGCUAGGUGUUGGAGGGUUUCCGCCCUUCAGUGCCGGAGCUAACGCAUUAAGCACUCCGCCUGGGGAGUACGACCGCAAGGUUGAAACUCAAAGGAAUUGACGGGGGCCCGCACAAGCGGUGGAGCAUGUGGUUUAAUUCGAAGCUACGCGAAGAACCUUACCAGGUCUUGACAUCUUGCGCCAACCCUAGAGAUAGGGCGUUUCCUUCGGGAACGCAAUGACAGGUGGUGCAUGGUCGUCGUCAGCUCGUGUCGUGAGAUGUUGGGUUAAGUCCCGCAACGAGCGCAACCCUUGUUACUAGUUGCCAGCAUUAAGUUGGGCACUCUAGUGAGACUGCCGGUGACAAACCGGAGGAAGGUGGGGACGACGUCAGAUCAUCAUGCCCCUUAUGACCUGGGCUACACACGUGCUACAAUGGACGGUACAACGAGUCGCGAACUCGCGAGGGCAAGCAAAUCUCUUAAAACCGUUCUCAGUUCGGACUGCAGGCUGCAACUCGCCUGCACGAAGUCGGAAUCGCUAGUAAUCGCGGAUCAGCAUGCCGCGGUGAAUACG